rnacentral:rRNA from 1 species
GACGUAGGGCGCGAGCGUUGUCCGGAUUUAUUGGGCGUAAAGAGCUCGUAGGCGCUGUUGCGUCAGCUGGUGAAAACCCGCAGCUCAAACUGUGGGCUUGCAGCUGGAAUACGGGGCAGGCUUGAGUUCGGUAGGGGAGACGUGGAAAUUCCUGGUGUAGCGGUGAAAAUGCGGCAGAUAUCAAGGAGGAACCACCGGUGGCGAAGGCGGGUCUCCUGGGCCGAUACUGACGCUGGAAGGAGCGGAAAGCCGUUGGGGGAGCGAAACAGGA